CACGUAGGGCGCAAGCGUUGUCCGGAAUUAUUGGGCGUAAAGAGCUCGUAGGCGGUCUGUUGCGUCCGCUGUGAAAACUCGGGGCUUAACCCCGAGCCUGCAGUGGAUACGGGCAGACUAGAGGUAGGUAGGGGAGAAUGGAAUUCCCGGUGUAGCGGUGAAAUGCGUAGAUAUCGUGAGGAAGACCAGUGGCGAAGGCGGGUCUCUGGACAGUUCCUGACGCUGAGGCGCGAAGGCCAGGGGAGCAAACGGG
rnacentral:rRNA from 1 species